AAAGUCGUAACAAGGUUUCCGUAGGUGAACCUGCGGAAGGAUCAUUAAAGAGCACUCGGGUCCUCUGGGCCCGAUCUCCCAACCCCAUGUCUAUCAUACCACAUGUUGCUUCGGCGAGCCCGCUCGUCCCGCGGUGUCUCGACACUUGAGGACGGGCCGCCGGGGGACCGCCUGACGGACCCCUGGCCCGCGCUCGUCGAUGGCCCCCAAAAUUCUUUGCAACCAUGACCAUUUGUCUUACGUGUGCAAUACACAAAACAUAAAUUAUAAGCAAAACUUUCAACAACGGAUCUCUUGGUUCUG
rnacentral:misc_RNA from 1 species